rnacentral:rRNA from 1 species
CCUGGCGGCCGUAGCGGGGUGGUCCGACCUGAGCCCAUGCCGAACUCAGAAGUGAAACGCCGUAGCGCCGAUGGUAGUGUGGGGUCUCCCCAUGCGAGAGUAGGGAACUGCCAGGC